rnacentral:rRNA from 1 species
CCUACGGGUGGCAGCAGUCGAGAAUCAUUCACAAUGGGGGAAACCCUGAUGGUGCGACGCCGCGUGGGGGAAUGAAGGUCUUCGGAUUGUAAACCCCUGUCAUGUGGGAGCAAAUUAAAAAGAUAGUACCACAAGAGGAAGAGACGGCUAACUCUGUGCCAGCAGCCGCGGUAAUACAGAGGUCUCAAGCGUUGUUCGGAAUCACUGGGCGUAAAGCGUGCGUAGGCUGUUUCGUAAGUCGGGUGUGAAAGGCGCGGGCUCAACCCGCGGACGGCACAUGAUACUGCGAGACUAGAGUAAGGGAGGGGGAACCGGAAUUCUCGGUGUAGCAGUGAAAUGCGUAGAUAUCGAGAGGAACACUCGUGGCGAAGGCGGGUUCCUGGACAUUAACUGACGCUGAGGCACGAAGGCCAGGGGAGCGAAAGGGAUUAGAUACCCCAGUA